UGAAAACCUUUCUGACUACACGCAGGUCAUGGCAGGUCCUCAUGUGCUCGGCCGAUAUUUGUCCCUGACAAAGGUUCGAAUGUUUCCUGCGUUCACAUGUGGCUGGGUCCGGAGCGGAGUCAAAGCUGUAUUUCCAGGCGGGCUGCCAGCACCCACUUUAGAUUCAACGACGCAACGAGAUCGGACGUGCGAGGAGGGACACGCUGUCCUGGAUCCCGUGCAGACUCUUCAGAUUAUGGGCAGUGGCUGCACCGUCUGCACUCCCACCAACAGCGCGAAAGGGCCCCCUCUCUCCACGUCCUCGCCAGCACCUGUUUGUUGAUGUGUUGAAGACGGCCAUUCUGACAGGGGGGAGUGAGACCUCAUUGCGGUUUUACUUUGCAUCCCCUGCUGGUCAGAGACGCUGAGCAUCUGUUCAUGCAUCUACUGGCCCUCUGCGCAUCCUCUUUGCGGAAGUGUCUAUUCAGGUCCCUUGCCCAUUGUUUAAUUGGAUUGUUUUUUGAUGUAGACUUUUGGAAGUUGUUUAUAAAGUUUGGAUAUUAACCUUUUAUCAGA